UACAGCCACAUCAUGUUGAAACACUAGUUCCUGUACUAUCAUUGAAGUUAAGCAAUGUUGAGCCUGGUCAGUAUCUAGAUGGGUGACUGCUUGGGAAUACUACGUGCUGUAA